rnacentral:tRNA from 2 species
GGCUGGAUGGCCGAGCGGUCUAAGGCGCUAGACUCAAGAACCAAGUUCUUCUUCAUCAUAUGGUGAGGUGCUUUCUAGUAUCGAAAGAUGCGUGGGUUCGAAUCCCACUCCAGUCA